rnacentral:rRNA from 1 species
GCAUAUCAAUAAGCGGAGGAAAAGAAACUAACAAGGAUUCCCCUUAGUAACUGCGAAGUGAAGCGGGAAAAGCUCAAAUUUAAAAUCUGGCGUCUUCGGGCGUCCGAGUUGUAGUUUAGAGAAGCGUUUUCCGCGCCGGACCGUGUACAAGUCUCCUGGAACGGAGCGUCAUAGAGGGUGAGAAUCCCGUCUUUGACACGGACUACCGGUGCUCUGUGAUGCGCUCUCGAAGAGUCGAGUUGUUUGGGAAUGCAGCUCAAAAUGGGUGGUGAAUUCCAUCUAAAGCUAAAUAUUGGCGAGAGACCGAUAGCGAACAAGUACCGUGAGGGAAAGAUGAAAAGCACUUUGGAAAGAGAGUUAAACAGUACGUGAAAUUGUUGAAAGGGAAACGCUUGAAGUCAGUCGCGUUCGCCGGGACUCAGCCUUGCUUCGGCUCGGUGUACUUCCCGGUGUACGGGCCAGCAUCACUUUUGAUCGUCGGAAAAGGGCGAGGGAAAGGUGGCACCUUCGGGUGUGUUAUAGUCCCUUGUCGUAUACGAUGGUUGGGAGUGAGGAACUCAGCACGCCUUACGGUCGGGGUUCGCCCACGUUCGUGCUUAGGAUGCUGGCGUAAUGGCUUUAAACGACCCGUCUUGAAACACGGACCAAGGAGUCUAACAUGCCCGCGAGUGUUCGGGUGGAAAACCCGUGCGCGUAAUGAAAGUGAAAGUUGGGACCUCUAUCGUGGAGGGCACCGACGCCCGGACCAGACCUUCUGUGACGGUUCUGCGGUAGAGCGUGUAUGUUGGGACCCGAAAGAUGGUGAACUAUGCCUGAAUAGGGUGAAGCCAGAGGAAACUCUGGUGGAGGCUCGUAGCGAUUCUGACGUGCAAAUCGAUCGUCAAAUUUGGGUAUAGGGGCGAAAGACUAAUCGAACCAUCUAGUAGCUGGUUCUGC